CCCAAAAGACUAGUCCAAUGGGGGAAGGGUGGCUCUCCCUUUUAAAGUGGCUUCCUCCUCCCAAGUUAAGCGAGGUGGGAUAAUUCUGAGGCUCACACGGUCACCGUCCGACUACAAUUGGGCUAACUAGGCCAAUUGCGUCUUUGCCAACGGGUAAUAGUGGAGGAUAUCCUCAUCAUUCCCACCUUCUUAAAAUGGGCCCUAGCUUUGAUACCAGAUGGUACACCCAGCUCAGGUGGGGUUGGCCGAGGCCCAACAAAUUAGGGUUGCUCGGAGCCCAACAGUUCAUUAUGCACACCCAACUUAGGGAAAGGCCCAAUCGCUCCAAAAGACUAGUCCAAUGGGGGAAGGGUGGCUCUCCCUUUUAAAGUGGCUUCCUCCUCCCAAGUUAAGCAAGGUGGGAUAAUUCUGAGGCUCACAUGGUCACCGUCCGACUACAAUUGGGCCAACUGGGCCAAUUACGUCUUUGCCAAUGGGUAAUAGUGGAGGAUGUCCUCAUCAUUCCCACCUUCUUAAAAUUGGCUCUAGCUCUGAUAUCAGAUGAUACACCCAGCCCAGGUAGGAUUUGCCGAGGCCCAACAAAUUAGGGUUGCCCGGAGCCCAACAGUUCAUUAUGCACACCCAACUCAAGGAAAGGCCCAAUCGCUCCAAAAGACUA
rnacentral:lncRNA from 1 species